rnacentral:rRNA from 1 species
UACGUAGGUGGCGAGCGUUGUCCGGAUUUACUGGGCGUAAAGAGCGCGCAGGCGGUCGUUCAAGUCGCGUGUGAAAGCCCCCGGCUCAACUGGGGAGGGUCACGCGAUACUGAUCGACUCGAAGGCAGGAGAGGGUAGUGGAAUUCCCGGUGUAGUGGUGAAAUGCGUAGAUAUCGGGAGGAACACCAGUGGCGAAGGCGACUACCUGGCCUGUUCUUGACGCUGAGGCGCGAAAGCUAGGGGAGCAAUCCGG